CUCUUUUCCGCUUAACCCACCCACUUCUAUCCAACUUUCUCUCCCCCCGCUUAACCCACUGACACCCUUCAUAUUUAUCCCCACUCUCUCUCCCCGCCCGCCCACAUCUAUCCAACUCUAUCUCUUUCUCUCUCCAUCUCCCCUUAACCCACACGCAUCUUUCAUAUUUAUCUCUUUCAUAUUUCCUUAUUUUUAGUUAUGUCUCUACCCUCUCUAUUCUCUUUAAAACGACCAAACCGGACUCGCCGGCCAAGUUUCGGCCAAAACUAGAUCUCGACCCAAUAGAGAGAAGUGAUCCUCUCAUAGUGAGCUUCCUAUCUAUAUUUGGUUAGUGAUUUUGUUUGGGAGAUUGAAUUCAAGCUAAACUGUAAGAAAGUGGUUCAAAUUCUUGGAUUUAGUUUACUCACUUGGAGACUCGCUCCUAUCGUACAGAAUUUUCAUACACAGGAAUGCGACUGUGGUGGAGAAUAUAGAGAAGAUGGUUCAAAUGACAAAGUUGGCAAGAAAGUGCAUUUUGGAGCAUUUUAUAG